rnacentral:rRNA from 1 species
CGACCGGCGCACGGGUGAGUAACACGUAUGCAACCUGCCCUCUUCAGGGGGACAACCUUCCGAAAGGGAGGCUAAUCCCGCGUAUAUCGGUUUCGGGCAUCCGAGAUCGAGGAAAGAUUCAUCGGAAGAGGAUGGGCAUGUGGCGCAUUAGCUAGACGGCGGGGUAACGGCUCACCGUGGCGACGAUGCGUAGGGGUUCUGAGAGGAAGGUCCCCCACACUGGUACUGAGACACGGACCAGACUCCUACGGAAGGCAGCAG